rnacentral:rRNA from 1 species
CCAGACUCCUACGGGAGGCAGCAGUGGGGGAUAUUGCACAAUGGGGGGAACCCUGAUGCAGCGACGCCGCGUGGGUGAAGGAGCGUUUCGGCGCGUAAAGCCCUAUCGGCAGGGAAGAAGGAGGACGGUACCUGACUAAGAAGCCCCGGCUAACUACGUGCCAGCAGCCGCGGUAAUACGUAGGGGGCAAGCGUUAUCCGGAUUUACUGGGUGUAAAGGGAGCGUAGACGGCGAUGCAAGUCUGAAGUGAAAGGCGGGGGCCCAACCCCCGGACUGCUUUGGAAACUGUAUAGCUGGAGUGCAGGAGAGGUAAGUGGAAUUCCUAGUGUAGCGGUGAAAUGCGUAGAUAUCAGGAGGAACACCGGCGGCGAAGGCGGCCUGCUGGACCGUGACUGACGUUGAGGCUCGAGAGCGUGGGGAGCAAACAGGAUUAGAUACCCGAGUAUA